rnacentral:tRNA from 1 species
UCCCCUGUAGCCCAACUGGCAGAGGCGUCGGUCUCAGGUACCGGAUGUUGCGAGUUCGAAUCUCGCCGGGGGAA